rnacentral:rRNA from 1 species
AUUGAACGCUGGCGGCAGGCCUAACACAUGCAAGUCGAACGGUAACAGCAAGCCGCUUGCUGCUUUGCUGCCUAGUGCCUGACGGGCUGGUCAUGUCUGGGAAACUGCCCGAUGGAGGGGGUUCACUUCUGGAAACGGUAGCUAAUACCGCAUAUCGUCGCCCUUUCAAAGAGCGGGACCUUAGGGCCUCUUGUCAUCGGAUGUGCCCAUAUGGGAUUAGCUAGUAGGUGGGGUAACGGCUCACCUAUGCGCCGAUCCCUAGCUGGUCUGAGAGGAUGACCAGACACACUGGAACUGAGACACGGUCCAGACUCCUACGGGAGGCAGCAGUGGGGAAUAUUGCACGAUGGGCGCAAGCCGGAUGCAGCCAUGCCGCGUGUAUGAAGAAGGCCUUCGGGUUGUAAAGUACUUACAGCGGGGAGGAAGGGAGGAAAGUUAAUCCCUGUGCUUAUUGACGGUACCCGCAGAAGAAGCACCGGCUAACUCCGUG